CGGGAACUGGGAGAGUAGCUAAGGUCUGCAGAACAUCACGCUUUGAUGGUUUUAUGGGGAAUGGAUGGGGAGGAAGAGACAUUCUCCUCUUCUUGGCCAGGCUUUGCCUUGCCCACACCCUCUUGUCACCUGUUCUCCUCCAUUGGGGCCCUGCCUCAUCCACCGGAGGAGAGCAGUUAGGCCCCACCAUGGUGAUCUACAGCACAGUGCUCCUAGCAGUCCUGUCCCAUCCAGGGCUGCUACUGGUUUGCAAUGUCUGCCUCCUGGAAAUCCCUGCUGUUCUGAUCACCGCUUUCCAGACCAAAGCUUCUCUAUGUGUGGUUAUAUAUGCGUCUUAUCCCUCCAUCCACCACUAAUCGCAGUCCUUAUUUUUUUCUGUGCAGAUGAUUGGGUUUGUUUCCAGAUCCAGGCUCCAUUCUGCUGUCUGGACCCUAAAAGAUAAUGUUUCCAAACGGAGUGUCCACGGCACUAGGAAUGUUAAACGGCUCAAGCAUCAAGGGGCAGAAGAGGAUUUGAAUCCCGGGUGAUUUUAUUUACUACUUCAGUAUUCCUAAAUGAUUAGAACCAUUGUGAGAAAGGGAGUGCAAAGAGAUGUGCUGUCCCAGCCAGACAUUACAGGGCCACAGAAAGGGACAGUGCGCUACCUUCACAGAAGUUUCUAGAAACCGGAAAAUAGACAAGUGGACUAGAAUAGAAAAGCCAGAAAGAGACCAAGUGAUAUGUGGGGAAAGGAUGAAGAAGGAGGGCUGCAAGUUCAAGGCCAGUGGGGCAAUUUAGCAAUUUAGUGAGAUCCUGCCUAAAAAUAAAUAAAUGAAUAAAACUGCUGGGGAUGUAGCUCAGCGCCAAGGCCCUUGGUUCAAUCUCCAGUGUCACACAUGCAAUAUUGGUUUCCUGUUUCACACUCUAAACAAAAUAAACUUCAAGUGAGCUAGAGUUAAAUGUGGAGGGUAAACCAUAAGCUAAUGGAGGUUGGGGGAUUAAUUCAGCGGUAGAGUGUGCUUAAUGUGUGUGAGACCCAGGCCUGAUCCCCUGGUACCACAAAAAAUCAACCUGUGACCUCGUGAGAGGGUUCACCUCCUGGUCAGAGGAGUGGAUUAGGUACUGCAGGACUGAUUCCUGACAGAAGGCUGAGUUGGGCCUCUGUCGUGCCCACUUGACUCCUGUCAUGUUAAGGUGCAGCGUGAAGGCCUGGCCAUGUGCCAGCCUGAUGCUCUUGGCUGUCCCAGUCUCCGGAACCGCCAGCCAAAUACACUUCUACUGCGUGCAUGGCCCAGUCUGUAACAUUCUCUGAUAGCAACAGAAAAUGGGCAAAGGCACCAGGAUUCGCAGGUCUGAAGACCAAAGGGCGGGAACAGCUCCUCUCUCUGUUACCCCUGUGCUUUUCAUCCCCGGGAUCUUGGUUGUAGAGCGUCACACAUUUCCCCAAGGAACGCAAGGAUCCCAUUAGCUAGAAGUCAAGGCCACUUUGGCUCCUCAAGGAUCCCUUUAGCUAGAAGUCAAGGCCACUUUGGCUCCUCGUGCCUCUGAGUCUCCAGGCAAAGAAGAAGGGUCGUGUGCUGUAGCUGAGCCUGAAUAGCAAGGAGCUGGAUUGCUGUUCCGCAGUGAAGUAAGGAGGACCUGAGCAAAAUGCAGACAUCCUCUGGGUUCCCCUUUGUGCUCUCUUACCCAGUGGUGUGACUGAGACGGUCCAGACUGCUCAAGAAUGAAGGUUUGGGUUAUACCUGCAGGUGGGGCACUAAAACCAGCUGAGGUGUUUGCUGAGGGUUAAAAGAAUGUGGGAAGGGCGGAGAAAGGAAGGAGUUAUAAAGAAAGUGUGGCAAGGCAAGCUUCUCACUCUUGCGGAAUUCACUUCCUCCUCCUCCUCUUCUUCCUCCCGCCUCUCAAAUCCCUCCCCAACCUCCUCCUCCCUCGUCCUCUUUCUUCUCCUCCUCCUUUCCCUCCGCCUUCUUUCUUUUCUUAGAAAAAUUAGCAUAGCUGGGUGUGGUGGCUGUGAUCCAGCACUUGGGAGGCUGAGGCAGGAGGAUUGCCAUGGUUUGAGGCCAGCUUGGGCUACAAAGUGAGUUCAAGGGCAGUCUGAUUACAGAACAAGACCUUGUCUAAAAAACAAAACAAAACAGGGCCAGGGAUUUAGCUCAAUGGUUCUGCCGUCUCCCUCAUGAGCACAAGGUGCCAAGUUCAAUCCCUGGUACCAAAAAAUAAAAUAAAUAAAAAAGAAAGAAAACAAGCCUGUGUAAAGCACUUUUAUUACAAUUUAAAAACUUUGAACCCAUAUGUGGUGUGGUGGUGGGGAGUGAGGGCAGGUGGGAUGGGAAACAAAGCAAUAAUAUCUCUCACCAAAUCACUACCCAGGACAGCAGAGUGAGAAGGGACUGAGGGAAGAAAAGCCAAGAAACAUCUACAGUGAGAGCC
rnacentral:lncRNA from 1 species